rnacentral:rRNA from 1 species
CAGCAGCCGCGGUAAAACCGAGGGUGCAAGCGUUAAUUGGAAUUACUGGGCGUAAAGCGCGCGUAGGUGGUUCGCCAAGUUGGAUGUGAAAUCCCCGGGCUCAACCUGGGAACUGCAUCCAAAACUGGCGAGCUAGAGUAUGGUAGAGAGUGGUGGAAUUUCCUGUGUAGCGGUGAAAUGCGUAGAUAUAGGAAGGAACAUCAGUGGCGAAGGCGACCACCUGGACUGAUACUGACACUGAGGUGCGAAAGCGUGGGGAGCAAACAGGAUUAGAUACCCCCGUAGUCCCUGUCUCUUAUAA